UUGCUCAGGUCUCUCCUCAUAUAGACGCACCAAUCUUUCACCUUUUACUAAAGAUCACCAUGGGGAGGGGCAUGCAAAUGAGCCUAUAGGCCAAUUUUACAGUGAAGCUGUGUACCUCUCG